GGCAGACCCACUGACUACCGGCUCUGGGUUGUCUCAGGGAGAGAGGAAGCCUCAUGCCCUCUUAUUGGUCAUGAGCAUCCCUUCAGUAUUAUCCUAAACUCCUUGAGGGAAACAGACUGCCAAGUCUCAGCAGUCACCAACAACAUCCUGACUGUAGAUGGGAGCCUCUACCUUGAGCACCUUCUCAAAGAUGCUUCCGGCCCAAACUUCAUCCUCAGGCUAAAGGCUGAUGUGGGAGGACUUGGCCGAGCAGUGGAGUCUUACCAGCUGGUCGACUCGUCUGAUUAUUGGGACUGAGAGAAGCAAGAAGGACUUCACUCUCCUAACAGGGAACCUUUUUCCUGCCAUUGGAGAAACUGGUCUUGAAAGAGAUUUUGGGGCUUCUGAAUGAGUAGGUCUAUCUGCUCCCUGAUGGGGACACAACGUUUUUGCUCAGCCCGCUGCUCCUCACAGCCCAUUGUGUGUCUAAGCUCCCCCCGGUUGGGGUCCCACAGCCAGCUCUACACUCUUGUCGCCCGCCAGUCCAGCUGCGAUGCAGCAGUGAUGUGUGGCCGUGCAGACCACUCCCAACACACACACACAAAUCCCACACUUAAGGGGCUACUAAAGUGGGACAGCAGCCCCAGGGUAGGUGGCAGCAAGUCUAGGUAUGCCUUCUGGAGGUCCCCUCAUGUAGCCUCAAGGUUCUGGCACCUUGCCCAGAGGCUGGCCGUGUCCAACAGGUCCAGUUUCUCCAGCCUGUCCUCCACAGGCACCUCUCCAUCUACCUCCUCUCUGAGCUGCAAAGACAGCGCCUUCUCCUUCUGCACCGACUCUGUGUCCUCUCCCAACGAGCCCAACUCCCUCCCCUUCCUGUUCGGCAUGUCGGCACGGUUAUGCCCUCUCACUCCAGACACCACAAAGAAAUUCCCAAAAGAUUGGAGUAUGACAUUCCCAGUGGCAGUUGCUCAGGCACCCAAGGAUUUGGACGGGUAUAAUUGGUCUGAUGAGAGAAAGGGAGACUAGAAGCAUUGCCAUUCUAUUAGCAUUCAGAAUAGAGAAGACCAUCAGAUGCUCACCCAAAGCCUCUGUAGUUUAAAAGGUGAGUAUAUUCAAAGCCCUGUCUCUCAACCAGACAGUGAAAGGAUUCUCUCUGAUUGGAGAGGGGAGCAGGUGCACCAGAGCCAGAAGGAUAAAGUGUUCAAGUUGUCAGAGUCAAAAGGACAGACCAAAGAAACAUCCAUUGCACACAUACAGCUGAGAAAUAAAAAAAACUGUCUGUCAAGAAGGAAGAGGUAAAAGGGGACGAAAAUUACAUUUUACACCUCCUCUAACAGAAUGCUGGUGAAAAAACAGUCUGAUCAAUCUGUGGAACAGUGUGGAGUCUCUCUGGUAUCUGACACAGGGAGAGAACAUCAGGAAAAUGGGGAACUGCUGGCCCAAAGUGUGCAGCUCCACAUACCCCAGACAGUGUCCUAUGGUCAAAACACUCCACUGGUCCUGCAGUCUGUCAACCAGACAAUUUUCAAAUAACAAGAAAGGAUCAAAGGCCAAAACAGAUAUUCACCUUGGUGAAGUGGUCCCUGAACAGUUGGGUGGUGGGUGCACUCCUCUCUCCCAAACAUCAUCUAAAACUCAUGCCAAAACUGCAAGCACAAUCAGCCACAAGACUGCAAGCACAAUCAGCCACAAGACUGCAAGCACAAUCAGCCACAAGACGGCAAGCACAAUCAGCCAAAAGACUGCAAGUACAAUCAGCCACAAGACUGCAAGCACAAUCAGCCACAAAACCGCAUGUGCAAUCAGCCACACUAUUAGAAUAAAACUGCAAGCAACUGUCAAAAAUACUGUGAGAGAAUACUUCAACUCAAGUGACAGCAAGAAUGGCCACUUAGAUGCAAAACAGAACGAAAAAGAGCUCCUCCAGUGGCAAAAUAAAAUGUUGGAACCAACAGAAAAUGCCACAAUGCGAUCACAUGGUGAGGAGUUGUCUGAUUGUUAAUGCUCAUCAUUUGGUGUUUUGUAAUGGGCUGUCAGAAUGUAGAUCAUCCUGGGUUAUUUCACCCUCCUCUUUGUGUGAAUUUUUUGCUAAAUGAUAAAUUUAGUCAAUGAAGGAUCCCACUGGGCACAGACAUCAGUUCAAAGUCUAAUUUUGAUUAACUUUAAGUUGAGUUGUCAUCUAAGGUGAAUUCAACAUGAAAUCAAGAAAACAUUUCACCAUGUCAUUGGAUUUAGGUUCAAAAGCAAUAGGGUGAAAAAAUUACGAAAUUAUCUUAUAUUGAUGACUUUUUGCAAAUCCAAUCGGUUUUUACACAUGGAUUCAACAUCAUCACAUUUCAUUUUUUGGUUGAAAUUAUGUGGAAACAACAUUGAUUCAACCAGUUUUUGCCCAGUUGGAUGGUGCAGAUUGAAUGCAGGCACUCAAACCACUCAGACAGAGCACUUCCUCCAACGGAGUAGGGAUUCAUAACCUUAAUCAUUUUCUAUACAGAAGCAUGAAUAAGGACCAGACAUCUUGACAUCACUGUGAUGUAUGUGUUUCCUAAUGGGGCUGUGAUAAUCUGUCGGUGAAAAAGUAAAAACAACCAAAUUUGAGGCAAAUUAGGUAUAAGAUGCACAACUUGUAUAUGGGCAAACACACACAUUUAUUUAAGUUUUCAUGGCCUGGAUUCUGUUUGGCAAACAAACAAAAAAUAUACAGAAUAAUUGUAACAAUAUAAAUACCUGAGAUGGAAUAUUAUCCAAACUGAGUUCCAAAUAAUGUAAAGUGAUUGUAUGGUGUGCAACACAUAUUCCUGCUGUAUAGUUAACAUCUGGUUAAUAAGUAAUCACCUACUUCUCACUUUUAUUGCUAAAGAAAAAUGUCCAACGUAAAUCACAUUGCAUAUAGUGAGUUAAAAUGUUUGUUUUGUUUUUGCACAGUUCAGUGCUAUUUUGCAUUUGCAAAAUGAAGCCUCAUGUAUAGAUCUCAUUUAGACGCAUUGAUAUAACGGUCUUAAACACAUAAUAACAUAUACUGUACCACUUUUACCACAUCAUUGUUUGUUUUUAUGUAUGUUUUAUCCUAGAACUGUAACUUUGAACAAUAAUCAUAUGUAGCGUUAACCUUGAUAUCAACGUGUGUGUGUGUGUGUGUGUGUGUGUGUGUGUGUGUGUGUGUGUGUGUGUGUGUGUGUGUGUGCGUGCGUGCGUGCGUGCGUGUGUGUGUGUGUGUGUGUGUGAGUGGUGGGGGGGGGGGGGGAUUUGCACCUCUUCACCCCUGUACGAGCUUAUGUUGAUGGUACCACUGAUAAUAAAUCAAGUUAGCCCUAAACAUCUCUGAAUCUCUGAGUAUGUUUUCCCAUGCCUUCUCAGUCCCCGGGUCCUAGGCAUAAUGUUUCCUUUUAUUUCUUUAUUGAGUUUAUUUACUGAGUUUAUUUGAGCAAGGACAAUGUACAUCAGAAGCAUUAGUCUCAGUACACUUGAGAAAAUAUGUGUUGUAUCAGAUUUAGCUAGCUGCUCAUUUCCGUCUGCAGUUCCAGGGCAGGUUAAAAUCACAACAAGAAAACAUUAUGAAGCCAGCAGGAUGGAUGCCUUGUUACAGAGCUACAAACAAUGAUUUGUAACACUUAACUUACUAUUUCUAAUUACAGAAAUGACUUCUAAAGGCAUGCUACUUUAGGCAAUGGCCCGCUGCUGGCAGUAUUUUCUUUUAAUGCUAUGUACCGUUAACAUGUAAUUGCUACAACUGAUUCUACAACCGAACCUACUUCAAGCUAGUUGAUUGAUAGGGCAAAGGGUAGUGAUAUGUUCCUGAGUGAUAUGUUCCUGGGGAUGUUUGAUUAUUAUUAGACUUCGUACAAUAGGUGAGAGGGGCAGCAAGUUGCAUGAAGGAUCACUGGCUGCCUUUAGAUCCCACAGCGUCCCUCAACUUUUGGGGCACUUGGACAGUCAUACCAUCCAUCCACUUCUGCACUGUCACAUGGCAACCAAGAUGGGACCUGUCAAUCAGAAGCAGAUUAAAAGGCUCAGACAUAUAGUUUCAGAAGCAGAUUAGGCUCAGACAGAUAGUUUCAGAGCAUUUACAUAGACAACAUCAGAUUUGUUUUAAACUGAAUUACUGAAUUUACUGCAACCUGUUGCUUCUACGUCAGUUCAGCAGUCAGGCCCUGUCUGGAGUAAAUCAAGAAAAUGUGUGUGUGCUUGUUUUGCUUGAGCCUUGAUCAUGUGUGUAAAUCAUAACAUUUCGACAAGCAAACACAUGUAAAUUGUUUAUGUAACCUAGUACCAUCAUGAAAUGCAAGAGAAAGGCCAUAGUGUAUUAUUCCAGCCCAGGUACAAUUGAGAUUUUAGCCAGUGAUGGUAUAGGUGUAUGUGCAAAGCUUUUUUUGGUACCAUCAUCUUUGAAAUGCAAGAGAAAGACCAUAAUGUAUUAUUCCAGCCCAGGUACAAUUGAGAUUUUAGCCACUAGAUGGUAUAGGUGUAUGUGCAAAGCUUUAAACUGAUCCAAUGAACCAUUUCAUUUCUGAUUAAAAUGUUGUAUCAAGAGUGCCCAAAUGUGCCUAAUUUGUUCAUUAGUAACUUUUCAUGUUCAAGAUUGUGCACUCUCCUCAAACAAUAGCAUGGUAUUAUGUCAGUGUAAUAGCUACUGUAAAAUGGACAGUGCAGUUAGAUUAACAAGAA
rnacentral:lncRNA from 1 species